UACGUAGGUGGCAAGCGUUGUCCGGAAUUAUUGGGCGUAAAGCGCGCGCAGGCGGUCCUUUAAGUCUGAUGUGAAAGCCCACGGCUCAACCGUGGAGGGUCAUUGGAAACUGGGGGACUUGAGUGCAGAAGAGGAAAGCGGAAUUCCACGUGUAGCGGUGAAAUGCGUAGAGAUGUGGAGGAACACCAGUGGCGAAGGCGGCUUUCUGGUCUGUAACUAACGCUGAGGCGCGAAAGCGUGGGGAGCAAACAGG
rnacentral:rRNA from 1 species